UACGUAGGGGCAAGCGUUGUCCGGAAUUACUGGGCGUAAAGCGCCUGUAGGCGGGAACGUGCGUCGGACGUGAAAGGCGGGGCUUAACCCCCGAGCGGCGUUCGAAACGGCGUUUCUUGAGGGUCGAAGAGGAGCGUGGAAUUCCUGGUGUAGCGGUGAAAUGCGUAGAGAUCAGGAGGAACACCCAUGGCGAAGGCAGCCCUUGGACCUGUACUGACGCUCAUGCACGAAAGCGUGGGAGCAACAGG
rnacentral:rRNA from 1 species